rnacentral:lncRNA from 1 species
UCCAGGAUUACUAGAAACUAACUGUGUCCUGUGUAAGUAAUUUGUCUUCUCUGAGUCCAAGUUUUCCCAUCUGUAAAACGGGGAUAAUUGUGCCUCCCCUAAUUCUCUCACAGAGUUUUCUGAGACUCGAAUGAGAUUAAAAGGCAUGAAGAACUCCAGAAAUGCAGGCUGCAAUAAUUAUUACUCUGAUUGUCAAUAGAAUCCAGAAUGCAACCAUCCAGAAGGGCAGGCUUUGGCUGCAGUGUUGCAGGGAGUGCCAGAGGGCCAAGAAAGCAGAGAAAAAAAGAAUCCGCAGAAGAGAAGAGACCUAGAGAAGUUUCUUAGUCCUCCCCCGUGGGAGGGCUGUACCUCAAAAAUGCCAUAUUGGAGGGAUGUCCAGUUCUCCUAGGUUUCCAGGGAAACUCUGUGAGUAUUUGUGUAUCAAACUAUAAAUUUAGUGGUACUUAAAAUACUGCUCGAUAGCAUGGAUAUUUAAGGAUAAGGAGAUAUAUGGUAAAGGCCUAGUUGGCAGGCUGCAUUCAGGUUGCUGGGUUUAAAGAUGAAUUAUAGUCAGCUCAUUUUUGAACUGGAAGUGACCCCACUGAUCCUCAUUUUACAAAAGAGGAAACUGAGGCCCAAGGAGAAACCUUUCCAAGGUCAGAACACAGAUGGGGAAUGCUGU